UAUAUUUAAAAUAUUUCUUUUUCUAUGAUGUCUGUUUAAUAUGUCUAAUAUAUGCACUAUACACCUAUUAAUCUCUUUACAUUAUUCUCUUUAGAUAUAUUAUAAAAUAGUAUUUAAAAUCAGUUGUCAGCCACAUGUGGUCUAUAUGAUGCAACAUGUUUGCAAUUGUUGGCAUGUCAUUUAAAAAUUUCAAUGCUGAUAAAACUGAAUUUUUUUAAAAAAAAAAGAGUAAUUCCAGCCUUCCAACCAAAUAUUAGAGACUUUUACGAAAGCACUCUCACAAAAUAAUGCUUUUAUAAUCAAUUUAAAAGUCUUUCAAAUCGUUAAUCAUUU